rnacentral:rRNA from 1 species
AGUGAACGCUGGCGGUAGGCCUAACACAUGCAAGUCGAACGGCAGCACAGUAAUAGCUUGCUCUUACGGGGGGCGAGUGGCGGACGGGUGGGGAAUACAUCGGAAUCUACUUUUUCGUGGGGGAUAACGUAGGGAAACUUACGCUAAUACCGCAUACGACCUACGGGUGAAAGCAGGGGAUCUUCGGACCUUGCGCGAUUGAAUGAGCCGAUGUCGGAUUAGCUAGUUGGCGGGGUAAAGGCCCACCAAGGCGACGAUCCGUAACUGGUGUGAGAGGAUGAUCCCAGCCUGUGGGACUGAGACGCGGCCCUGAGACCUACGGGCGGCACCGGUGGGGACUAUUGGCCACAGUGGGCAAGCUUGAUCCAGCCAUACCGCCCGGGUGCAGAAGGGCCGCGUGUUGUAAAGCCCUUUUGUUGUUAAAGAAAAGCAUCAGGUUAAUCCCCCGCUGUUCUGACGGUAGUCAAAGAAUAAGCACCGGCUAACUUCGUG